UCCUAGACCUCUGAUCAUGAUAUGCUACUGACCAU
rnacentral:rRNA from 1 species